rnacentral:misc_RNA from 1 species
AAGAACUGGAAUUUUACUUUGAUCUGCACAUGCAAUAAUAACCACUUUCAUCACAGGACUCAAAGCCACAGCAAAGAAAUCAGCAAAACAAAAGACCAUUCAGGCAUACACUCCUGAUUUAAAAGAUGACUAAAAAAAUUGGUUCAAUUUAACUGAAGUUCCACAGGUAAAAUAACAAUGCAAAUCAAAACAAGUUGAAGCUUAACUAAAAUAGCAAAUUAACCAUAUUACAUACCAUAAAUGUUCAUUACAGAGAGUG